rnacentral:rRNA from 1 species
UAGGGAAUAUUGGGCAAUGGGCGAGAGCCUGACCCAGCCAUGCCGCGUGCAGGAAGAAGGCUUUCUGAGUCGUAAACUGCUUUUGACAGGGAAGAAUAAGCACUACGUGUAGUGUGAUGACGGUACCUGCAGAAUAAGCACCGGCUAACUCCGUGCCAGCAGCCGCGGUAAUACGGAGGGUGCGAGCGUUGUCCGGAUUUAUUGGGUUUAAAGGGUGCGUAGGCGGCCCGUUAAGUCCGGGGUGAAAGCCCGUUGCUCAACAACGGAACUGCCCUGGAUACUGACGGGCUUGAGUACAGACGAGGUUGGCGGAAUGGACCGAGUAGCGGUGAAAUGCAUAGAUACGGUCCAGAACCCCGAUUGCGAAGGCAGCUGACUAGGCUGUUACUGACGCUGAGGCACGACAGCGUGGGGAGCGAACAGGAUUAGAUACCCUGGUAGUCCACGCCGUAAACGAUGGAUACUCGCUGCGAGCUAAAGAUUGUUCGUGGCUUAGGGAAACCGAUAAGUAUCCCNGCCUGGGGAGUACGCCGGCAACGGUG